rnacentral:rRNA from 1 species
UACGGAGGGUGCAAACGUUGCUCGGAAUCAUUGGGCGUAAAGCGCACGUAGGCGGCUUGUUAAGUCGGGUGUGAAAUCCCUGGGCUCAACCCAGGAAGUGCACUCGAAACUGGCGAACUUGAAUAUGGAAGAGGGUCGCGGAAUUCCCGGUGUAGAGGUGAAAUUCGUAGAUAUCGGGAGGAACACCAGUGGCGAAGGCGGCGACCUGGGCCAAUAUUGACGCUGAGGUGCGAAAGCGUGGGGAGCAAACAGG